GGCAACCCACUCCAGUGUUCUUGCCUGGAGAAUCCCAGGGACGGGGGAGCCUGGUGGGCUGCCGUCUAUGGGGUCGCACAGAGUCGGACACGACUGAAGCGUCUUGGCAGCAGCAGUGGCAGAGGAAACCGAGCUGGGGAAGCAGCAGCUGACUCCAAUUUACGGACGAGGCAAGUGAGGCUCGUGGAGCUUCAUCCCGCUGGUCAGCCCAGACCAGAACGGCCAGGCCACAGACCCAGGGCUGGACCAUGGCCCCAGCUGAAGGGACAGGAUGUUUCCCAUGCUCAGAGGAGGAAGAUGAGACAUAGAGAGGCGAAGGAACUGCCCUGACUCGGGUCACACUGCUGCCACAAGGAGAUGUCGUUUUUGCACCUGGAAAACCAGAAACAACAGAAGCUGCCAUGGCCAGGCAAGCGGGGCCCUCCCCGCCGUCAGUCCCCC